rnacentral:rRNA from 1 species
UAAUACAGAGGGGGCAAGCGUUAUUCGGAAUUAUUGGGCGUAAAGGGCGCGUAGGUGGCCCUGUAAGUCAAAGGUGAAAUCCCUCGGCUCAACCGAGGAAUUGCCCUUGAAACUGCAGGGCUUGAGGCCGGGAGGGGGUAGCGGAAUUCCCAGUGUAGCGGUGAAAUGCGUAGAUACUGGGAGGAACACCGGUGGCGAAGGCGGCUACCUGGACCGGUUCUGACACUGAUGCGCGAAAGCGUGGGUAGCAAACAGGAUUAGAUACCCUGGUAGUCCACGCUGUAAACGAUGGGUGCUCGGUGUCGCGGGUAUCGACCCCUGCGGUGCCUUAGCUAACGCGUUAAGCACCCCGCCUGGGGAGUACGGUCGCAAGGCUG